AUGGACGCCGGGCAAUUCGUCAUCCCGAUCCUCGGCAUCAUCGGCGCCGCGGCCGCAACCUUCUACGCCGUCAGCUUCAUGGAGAUCCGGGAGAAAUCACUGGAGGAUCUGGAUGACAAGUACUCCGAGUACGAGGAGGGCGGCGGGCGGCAGCGCCGGGCGCGGCGGAGGUCCGGCCGCCAGGCGAAGAAGCGGAAUGAUUGA
rnacentral:rRNA from 1 species